GAGCUUAAUACUUUUUUGGAUGUAGCCUAUAUUGCCUUGGUCAGAUGAUUUUGAUAUAUUGAUAUGGUGGAAGGUGAAUUCAAUCAAAUAUCUGACUUUAUCUCGAAUUGCAAAAGAUAUUUUGGCCAUCCUGGUAUUUACUGUGGCAUCUGAAUCUGUUUUCAGUACUAGAGGUAGAUUUGUUAGUCCACACAGAAAUAGACUUCUCCCCAAAACUUUGGAGGCUUUAAUGAGUGCUCAAAAUUGGUUAUGGGCCGAUAUUCAGGGUAUAAUGUAUAUAAACAUUUGCUUUUUAUAUUGUUUCUUUUAUGAAUUUUCUUAUUACUAAUUAUUUUAUUUUAUUAAUAGCGAAUUCUGCGCCGUCUGCAUAUUUUGGAAGUUGCUCCAAGAUGAAUGAUGAGGAUGUUGAUGAUGAGGAUCCAUCUUCUACAAUCUCUAAACCUGCCGAUGAAUGAAGUUGUGAAGAUGGAAAAAUAUCAAAUUUAUUUUUUGAUAAAGAAGUGAAAUUUAGUUACAAUGUAAUUGUAUUUAAAAUUAUUCAUUUUCGGAUAUUGUUUGUUUUGAGUACUUAA